rnacentral:lncRNA from 10 species
CAGGGCAUUACAUUGGGGCAGGAAGGGUUGGGGGAGCAGACAUCACCAUCCCUCCAGCCUGCCCCCUGGACAUCGCACUGCUUCCCUUAGCAGCUAUGGAAACCACUCCGACCAGAGAGGGGAAGGGACUUGCCCAAGGCCACACUGUUCAGAGGCUGCACAGGACUGCAGUCCUGGCUUCCGAUUUCCCACUGGGGUGUGGAUGAAGCAUGCGGGACACACGAGACAUAGGGAUUAGAGGCUCCAGGUCCAAAGGGCAGGGACGGUGCCAGUCUUGGUCACUCACUGCUCACUUGUCUGUCCCCAGCUCCAGCACAGGAGCUGACAUGCAGGCCUGAAUGGAUAAAGACGAUAAGGAAGGCAAGACUGGGAGGGAUCUCUGUGGAAGACUUCCAGGAGGGGCCGGGGUUGGGCCAAAGGGGAGUGGGGCUUGGACCAGCAGAGAGGAGAUGGUGGUACUGCGUGGGCAGGUGUGUGGAGGAGGGAGGAAACCUGGCCUGCUGAGGAGAGAAAUGGGUCUGGGAGCAGGCCAGCCAGCCAGAGGGGAUGAGUCUGGGCGUGGCCAGAGCAGACCAAGGAGGCUCCAGGCUCCGCCUCUGGGGCAGCCCCACUCCCCCACCAGCCCCCCGUCCCCCAGCCCCACCACAGAGCCCUGCCUGGGUAAUUCCUGAACAGGAACAGAAGGAGGAAGCUGUACAAGUGACACUCAGCUGGUGAGUGGGAGGCAGGGUUUGGUUUCCUUUCCAGAUGAGCCCUGGGUUUGUUCAGCCCUGGUGCGUGCCCCCACCCCUGCCCCUCCCCUGCUGUCUGUGGCCUUGGCUCAGGCACUGGUGAAUCUCAGAGGCCAGGCAGGCCAGAAAGGAGCCAUCCAGGCCAGGAAAUGGGGAGGUCCUGUUGCGUGGGAAUCCCCUGGGAGGGUGGCUUGACGUGUCCCCUUCUCUCUCGGACCAGACUGUGAGAACUGAAAGCUGGGACCGCAGCUUUCACAUCCUUCCGGUGUGGCAAAGUCCUUUCCAUCCUUCAGGACCCAAUCUAUUUUAUUUUUUUACUUUGGAGAUGGGAUCUUGCUUUGCUGCCCAGGCUGCAGUGUAGUGGCACAAUCAUGGCUCACUGCAGCCUCAAACUCCUGGGCUCAAGUGAUCCUCCUGCCUCAACCUCCUGAGUAGCUGGAGUACAGGCACACCUACCAUGCCUGGCUAAUUUUUAAUCAUUUUUGUAGAUACGGGGCCUCGCUGUGUUGCCCAGGCUGGUCUCAAACUCCUGGGCUCAAGUGAUCCUCCUGCCUCACCCUCCCAAAAUGUUGGGAUUACAGGCGUGAGCCAUUGCACCCAGCAGAGACUCAAUCUAAAUGUCCCUCGUUUGGUAAACUCUCCGAGAAUCCCCUAUCAAGGCAAACUGACAAAUGCUCCCCACCCCCGAACUCCUGUAGCACUCAGAACACACUUAAAAAUAAAAAGAAUCACUGUUUAUUGGGUGUCCACAAUGCACAGGGUCUCACAUUUCACCUCCUUGUUGUACCUCUCAGCAUCACUGACAGUUGGCACCAUCCUUAGUUCCAUUUUACUGAGCAGCUCAGUGGGGCACAGGGAGGUUGCAGGGUUGCAGGCAGUGGGGCUGGGUCUCCUGGAUACCAAAGUGUGUCGCUCUCUGGCCCUCCUGCUCAUAGUGUUUCAGGGUCUGUUUCCUCUUCUGGCUUGGAGCCUUCAAAGGGCAGAGUCUGUGUCCCUGGAGACCUGGCCUUGGGGAGGUGUUGACCCAUGGACAAAUCUUUGAACCUCCCCACCAGCCUUCACCAUGAUGAGGACCUAGGCUGGUGCCUUGUAUACAGUAGGCUGUUACUGAAUUCUUGUGACAUUGAGAAAGCUUGAUCUUAGUCCAGGCUCUGUCAUAAACUUGCAGUUUGAGUUUGGGCAAGUCACUUCUAUUCUCUGGUCCUAAGUUUCCCUGGGUUUAGAAGGAAAUGUUUACAGACAAGUGUCUUAACUUCCUCCCUGUCCGAAAAUUCAGUCCUUUGCUCUAGAACAUGGCACAUACCCCACACUCAAUUUCCCUUAUUAUUAUUGUUAUAUUAAGUUUUUUUUUUCUCAAGUGGGCUUGCUAGGGAAUCCCUGAUUAU